rnacentral:tmRNA from 1 species
GGGGCUGACCGGUUUUGACAGCAUUAGAAAGGGUUAGUAAGCAUGUCGGGUCUUGUGAUUAAGCCCGUAAAAACGUGUCACGCAAUUUUUAUUUGGCGAAAAUAAUUUUGCUCUCGCAGCCUAAUCGAAUUAUAGUAGAUUGGCUUAAUCCCUGCACAAGGUGCGGGACGAGACGGUUCGCAGGUGGACAAGUCUGAUUCCGUCCUGGCCACGAGUCGCACGCAAGUUCGGACUAGUUGUAUUAGAGUUCCGAUAAUACAAUGAAAUUCAGGGACUAAGGUAUUGUUUAGGGUGUUUGUUUCCUUACUUUACUCUAAAACCAACAACAAAAUAAACAUGUAGAAAGCUAAUUGGUUCAAUGUUUGGACGAGGGUUCGAAUCCCUCCAGCUCCACAA